GUACGAAAGUAGGUCUUAGUGAUCCGGUGGUUCUGUAUGGAAGGGCCAUCGCUCAACGGAUAAAAGGUACUCUGGGGAUAACAGGCUGAUACCGCCCAAGAGUUCAUAUCGACGGCGGUGUUUGGCACCUCGAUGUCGGCUCAUCUCAUCCUGGGGCUGAAGCAGGUCCCAAGGGUAUGGCUGUUCGCCAUUUAAAGAGGUACGCGAGCUGGGUUUAGAACGUCGUGAGACAGUUCGGUCCCUAUCUACCGUGGGCGCUGGAAAUUUGAGAGGAUCUGCUCCUAGUACGAGAGGACCAGAGUGGA
rnacentral:rRNA from 1 species